rnacentral:rRNA from 1 species
UACGGAGGGUGCAAACGUUGCUCGGAAUCAUUGGGCGUAAAGCGCACGUAGGCGGUCUAGCAAGUCGGGUGUGAAAGCCCUCGGCUUAACCGAGGAAGUGCAUUCGAAACUACUGGACUUGAAUACUGGAGAGGAUCGCGGAAUUCCCGGUGUAGAGGUGAAAUUCGUAGAUAUCGGGAGGAACACCAGUGGCGAAGGCGGCGAUCUGGACAGAUAUUGACGCUGAUGUGCGAAAGCGUGGGGAGCAAAC